rnacentral:rRNA from 1 species
GACGAACGCUGGCGGCGUGCCUAAUACAUGCAAGUAGAACGCUGAAGAGAGGAGCUUGCUCUUCUUGGAUGAGUUGCGAACGGGUGAGUAACGCGUAGGUAACCUGCCUGGUAGCGGGGGAUAACUAUUGGAAACGAUAGCUAAUACCGCAUAAAAUUGAUUAUUGCAUGAUAAUUAAUUGAAAGAUGCAACUGCAUCACUACCAGAUGGACCUGCGUUGUAUUAGCUAGUUGGUGAGGUAACGGCUCACCAAGGCGACGAUACAUAGCCGACCUGAGAGGGUGAUCGGCCACACUGGGACUGAGACACGGCCCAGACUCCUACGGGAGGCAGCAGUAGGGAAUCUUCGGCAAUGGGGGGAACCCUGACCGAGCAACGCCGCGUGAGUGAAGAAGGGUGUCGGAUCGUAAAGCUCUGUUGUAAGAGAAGAACGGGUGUGAGAGUGGAAAGUUCACACUGUGACGGUAUCUUACCAGAAAGGGACGGCUAACUACGUG